CCGUAGCUCAGUGGAUAGAGCAGCCGCCUUCUAAGCGGUAGGCCGAGGGUUCGAAUCCUUCCGGGUG
rnacentral:tRNA from 1 species